rnacentral:rRNA from 1 species
UCCCAGACUCCUACGGGAGGCAGCAGUGGGGGAUAUUGCACAAUGGGGGGAACCCUGAUGCAGCGACGCCGCGUGGGUGAAGGAGCGUUUCGGCGCGUAAAGCCCUAUCGGCAGGGAAGAAGGAGGACGGUACCUGACUAAGAAGCCCCGGCUAACUACGUGCCAGCAGCCGCGGGAAUACGUAGGGGGCAAGCGUUAUCCGGAUUUACUGGGUGUAAAGGGAGCGCAGGCGGCCUUGCAAGUCUGAUGUGAAAGGCCGGGGCCCAACCCCGGGACUGCAUUGGAAACUGCGAGGCUGGAGUGUCGGAGAGGCAGGCGGAAUUCCUAGUGUAGCGGUGAAAUGCGUAGAUAUUAGGAGGAACACCAGUGGCGAAGGCGGCCUGCUGGACGAUGACUGACGCUGAGGCUCGAAAGCGUGGGGAGCAAACAGGAUUAGAUACCCCGGUA